rnacentral:rRNA from 1 species
CGCGCACGGGUGAGUAACGCGUAUCCAACCUGCCCUUUACUAUGGGACAGCCCGUCGAAAGGCGGAUUAAUACCGUAUGUUGUCAUGUUGAUGCAUAUUUUCAUGACCAAAGGCUUCGGCCGGUAAAGGAUGGGGAUGCGUCUGAUUAGCUUGCCGGCGGGGUAACGGCCCACCGGGGCGACGAUCAGUAGGGGUUCUGAGAGGAAGGUCCCCCACAUUGGAACUGAGACACGGUCCAAACUCCUACGGAAGGCAGCAG